UGUGAGAUCUUCGCCUUGGAACUUGACUUUGGAGGAGCUGGGUCUUGAAAUCUCAGACUGCUUCUCCAUGGACUGCCAUGUGCUUUCCUUUGUAAUGAACAUGUAGUCCAAGAUAAAUCAAAUUCUGGUCCCUAAUUAAUCACUUCUCUGACAGGAAAUGAUGAUAACAACGAUGACACAGAAAGGUUUCAGCCUUGCUCCCCUUCCCCUAGCCCCUCUCCCAAAGAAAGAACCAUCUGUUUUGAAAAUGACCCAUGGAAAGUGGACAACUGGAAUAACCCAAGCCUCAUUCGCUAGAGCUUUGCAGAGUGCCCUCAUUAGGAACAAUCUGCUCAAGCCCAUAUUUCUCCCUGGAAGAGCAUCACACUGAGGAAACAGGAAUCAAUGGGGAAAGCAUCAACAGGACAAUCAACCAGUCCCCAGGAAAGCAAGAGAGCUAUGAAAACAACAGCUUGUAAAGCAUGUCAGGCCUGAGUCAGAUGCUGCUUUUGGACUCUUGUUGUCUGGCAUCUGUGUCUGGGAAUAAGAACUGUCUCCUGUUGUGUUCAAGGCACCAACUUUCACAUUUAGGAUAUAUUAAGGUACACAAGGAGAAUGUUUAAGGUCCAUAACUAUGCAGAGGAGAUAAUUAAUUUAAAAAUAUGAUCUAUGAAAUUAUAGGAAGGAGAUAAAGGUAACAUCAUGUCUUCCCCCCCCCCAAUCAUGUUUUCCAAUGUAUUGCUGUCCUCCUGAAUGAGAACUGACCUUGGAAAGAAAUAUUCCCCCACUUCCCCAAGGUUAAAACAGAGCAAACCGUGAUGUGCUGCUAAGAAAUAAAAUAUAGGUUGACUUUCUCUUCUAUGUUAAU
rnacentral:lncRNA from 1 species